AGCGACAGAGGGUGGUGCAAUCAGACAACGCCCUCGCCUUUUACUAGGGCGUUCCGUGUAUCACCCUCAUUCAAUGUCGCCUAACCAAUUUUUCAAGCGUCAGUUGCUUCUGACCA
rnacentral:snRNA from 1 species